rnacentral:rRNA from 1 species
UACGGGAGGCAGCAGUGGGGAAUAUUGCGCAAUGGGGGAAACCCUGACGCAGCAACGCCGCGUGAAUGAUUAAGCCCUUCGGGGUGUAAAGUUCUGUCAGCAGGGACGAAUAAUGACGGUACCUGCAGAGGAAGCACCGGCUAACUCCGUGCCAGCAGCCGCGGUAAUACGGAGGGUGCAAGCGUUGUCCGGAAUCAUUGGGCGUAAAGAGUUCGUAGGUGGCCUGUAAAGUCUGGUGUUAAAUGCAGAAGCUCAACUUCUGUUCGGCACUGGAUACUUGCAAGCUGGAAUGCGGUAGAGGUAAAGGGAAUUCCUGGUGUAGCGGUGAAAUGCGUAGAUAUCAGGAGGAACAUCGGUGGCGUAAGCGCUUUACUGGGCCGUAAUUGACACUGAGGAACGAAAGCCGGGGUAGCAAAUGGGAUUAGAUACCCCAGUAGUCCCGGCCGUAAACGAUGGAUACUAGGUGUUGCGGGUAUCGACCCCUGCAGUGCCGCAGCUAACGCGAUAAGUAUCCCGCCUGGGGAGUACGCACGCAAGUGUGAAACUCAAAGGAAUUGACGGGGACCCGCACAAGCGGUGGAACAUGUGGUUUAAUUCGAAGCAACGCGAAGAACCUUACCAGGGCUUGACAUCUGAGGAACUUUUGUGAAAGCAGAAGGUGCUCUUCGGAGAGCCUCAAGACAGGUGGUGCACGGUUGUCGUCAGCUCGUGUCGUGAGAUGUUGGGUUAAGUCCCGCAACGAGCGCAACCCUCGUCGUUAGUUGGAUGUAUCGGUAUACUGGUGCAUUCCUCUCUAGCGAGACUGCCGGUGAUAAACCGGAGGAAGGUGGGGACGACGUCAAAUCAUCAUGCCCCUUAUGCUCUGGGCUACACACGUGUUACAAUGGCCGGUACAACGAGCCGCCAACUCGCGAGAGUGAGCAAAUCUCUAAAAACCGGUCUCAGUUCGGAUUGCACUCUGCAACUCGAGUGCAUGAAGUCGGAAUCGCUAGUAAACGCAGAUCAGCACGCUGCGUUGAAUACGUUCCCGGGUCUUGUACACACCGCCCGUCACACCAUGGAAGUCGACCACGCCCGAAGUACGUGAGCUAACCGUAAGGAAGCAGCGUCCUAAGGCAGGGUUGGUGACUGGGGUGAAGUCGUAACAAGGUAGCCGUACCGGAAGGUGCGGCUG